rnacentral:tRNA from 7 species
GGAGAGAUGGCAGAGUGGUUGAAUGCGGCGGUCUCGAAAACCGUUGUCCCGGGUUUCCGGGACCGAGGGUUCGAAUCCCUCUCUCUCCG